rnacentral:miRNA from 1 species
UCCUUGAUGGGGCUGUGAUGUGA